CCCGCUCAGAAACUACAAAGGAAUUGACGGGGACCCGCACAAGCAGCGGAGCAUGUGGUUUAAUUCGAAGCAACGCGAAGAACCUUACCAGAUCUUGACAUCCAAUUGACCAUCUUUUAAUCGAGAUUUUGCCUUCGGGUACAAUUGAGACAGGUGGUGCAUGGUUGUCGUCAACUCGUGUCGUGAGAUGUUGGGUUAAGUCCCGCAACGAGCGCAACCCUUGUGUUUAGUUGCAAACAGGUCAAGCUGUGCACUCUAGACAGACUGCCGUGGACAACACGGAGGAAGGUGGGGAUGACGUCAAAUCAUCAUGCCCCUUAUGAUCUGGGCUACACACGUGCUACAAUGGCCGGUACAACGGGCAGCGAAGGAGCGAUCCGGAGCGAAUCCUAAAAAGCCGGUCCCAGUUCGGAUUGCAGGCUGAAACUCGCCUACAUGAAGUUGGAGUUGCUAGUAAUCGCGAAUCAGAAUGUCGCGGUGAAUGCGUUCCCGGGUCUU
rnacentral:rRNA from 1 species